UGCAUUAUCCAUGUGGUCCUAACCAGAGACAGACAUAACCAGACAGCCAAGGAGUGCGGGAGGGCUCUCACAUCCUGCCCCAACUCAUGUCCCAUACUUCCACCUUCUCCGCCAUUCUCCCUUCAGUCACCGGUCACUAUCUGCCCCGGUGCCACUGGGGGUCUCUGAGGGGGACAGCCACUUGCUCCAGGAGAUGAUGCCUUCCAAAACCAGGCAGAAACCUUGUGCGCUUCCAAGUCCUGCCCCACAGCAAUAUUGCACCCAGCAUUUUCCCUGCUAUAAGCCCCUUUUCCAUGUAUUUGUACUGACCCAGACUGGUGAUGCUGUCAGGAAGGUGCCAGAAGGCACACUGCCCCAUGGGCCCAGCUCUCCCCACACCUCCCAUUACCCCUGGGGCAGCUCUGUCCGGCCAGGACCCAGCCUACCCUUGGGCUCCAUCACCCCUUCCCAGAAGGGAGCACAUGAGGGAGGAGGCCUGAAACUCUUGAAGAUAAACUACGCCAGUAUUUCUCCAGAGCUCUUUCCUUCCCUGAGCAAAGGGCUCUCCAUCUCACCACUACCUGGGGGAGUGCCUGCACCCAGAGUGGGUGUGAGGGGUACAAGAAACAGCCACAGACUUUAGGGAAGAGAGACACCCCCAAUUUCUCUAAAAAGUCGGUUUAAAUUCAGCUAAAGGAGGCAUUGGCUAUGACAAAGAAAUUACUUUAGCUGUGUGCUUCAGUGGAUGAAUCCUUGUAUACCUCCUCUUUCUUAGGAUUCCAGGUUUCUAGGAAACUUAGAAUAGCUGUUGCUUCAUUCCUAAAAAAAAGCUUCUCUGAAUGAUUAAUAAUCCAUCCCUUACUGCACGUCUUGUUCCUCAGAAUUUGAGCAGUCUGGUAAGUACCUGAAAUGCUUUAAUGUUUCAAAAUACAGCAUCUUUUAAGCCUAAGUGAAACUUAGCUUCAGCCUUCAAAGUCAAAACAAAACAAAAAACACUGGCAAUAUGUAGUGUAUUACCCCCUU